rnacentral:rRNA from 1 species
UACGAAGGGGGCUAGCGUUGUUCGGAAUUACUGGGCGUAAAGGGCGCGCAGGCGGUCCUUCAAGUCAGAUGUGAAAGCCCCGGGCUCAACCUGGGAACUGCAUUUGUGACUGGCGGACUCGAGUAUGGCAGAGGGGGGUAGAAUUCCACGUGUAGCAGUGAAAUGCGUAGAGAUGUGGAGGAAUACCGAUGGCGAAGGCAGCCCCCUGGGCCAAUACUGACGCUCAUGCACGAAAGCGUGGGGAGCAAACAGG